rnacentral:rRNA from 1 species
CGAAAGCCUGACGGAGCAACGCCGCGUGAGGGAUGAAGGCCUCUGGGCUGUAAACCUCUUUUCUCAAGGAAGAAGACCUGACGGUACUUGAGGAAUAAGCCACGGCUAAUUCCGUGCCAGCAGCCGCGGUAAUACGGGAGUGGCAAGCGUUAUCCGGAAUUAUUGGGCGUAAAGCGUCCGCAGGUGGCCUUGAAAGUCUGUCGUUAAAGCGUGGAGCUUAACUCCAUUUAAGCGAUGGAAACUACGAGGCUGGAGUGUGGUAGGGGCAGAGGGAAUUCCCGGUGUAGCGGUGAAAUGCGUAGAUAUCGGGAAGAACACCAGUGGCGAAGGCGCUCUGCUGGGCCAUCACUGACACUCAUGGACGAAAGCCAGGGGAGCG